GAUGAACGCUGGCGGCGUGCCUAAUACAUGCAAGUCGAGCGAACAGACGAUGAGCUUGCUCCUCUGAUGUUAGCGGCGGACGGGUGAGUAACACGUGGAUAACCUACCUAUAAGACUGGGAUAACUUCGGGAAACCGGAGCUAAUACCGGAUAACAUGUUGAACCGCAUGGUUCAACAGUGAAAGACGGUCUUGCUGUCACUUAUAGAUGUAUCCGCGCCGCAUUAGCUAGUUGGUAAGGUAACGGCUUACCAAGGCAACGAUGCGUAGCCGACCUGAGAGGGUGAUCGGCCACACUGGAACUGAGACACGGUCCAGACUCCUACGGGAGGCAGCAGUAGGGAAUCUUCGGCAAUGGGCGAAAGCCUGACGCAGCAAGGCCGCGUGAGUGAAGAAGGUCUUCGGAUCGUAAAACUCUGUUAUUAGGGAAGAACAAAUGUGUAAGUAACUAUGCACGUAUUGACGGUACCUAAUCAGAAAGCAACGGCUAACUACGUG
rnacentral:rRNA from 1 species